ensembl:lncRNA
GAGCAUACUGCAGAUGACUGGAUGCGUGUCGCAGAACUACAGGCUCGAAACAAAGCCUGUCUGCCUCACAUGAAGAGCAGCUACCCGCUGGAGUCCAGGCCCACUGUGGGACUUCCCUCGUUCACAUUAACGGAUGAGGACCUACGGAUGGGUGACCCGAAAGAGAGCAUUCGCCGUGCAGCUUUACACUUUCAUGAAUCACAGCAUUCACAGACUCUCAGACAGCCAGGAUCCCUGCUGCAGGACCUGAACACACCUGAGGUACGACACCGAAAACAACCCCGACCAAUCAGAUAUGAUCCUCAACAAAAAAACACAUGCAGACUUAUUUCUCAAUAUGCAUUUUGUCUAAUGAUUCAAUAAACCCUUCCUUUUUAAGAAAUAGAUAUUUUGAGUUAAGUGUAAUUGUGUAAUUCUUUAGCAGCAGUACACUGGCACAGGUGAGGCAAAGAAGUUGGCGAGCUGCAUCUCUCGGACCGUGAUGCUUAAGAGCAGGCAUGCUUACAGACUCUCAAAUGCUGAGGUACAGUAGUGUAUAUAAAUGCUUUGUCUAUCUAUAUACAUGCAUGCACAUCAUUUUUCUCCCCUACUCUUUUCAUCUGAAGCGAAGGCAGUCUGUUAUGUUCACCAUUGUUAACACCCCAAAACCCCAAAGAGGUAGUUUGCUGCAGCGAGGCCUGAAGCGUCGUAAGGAAGCCUGUAAGUCUCCCACAGUGAGCGGUCGUGCCCUGCAGCCUGCGAUGAGUGCCGCUAACAGCAGGUCGCCGCUCUCACUGAGAAAAUGUCCUCGCAACAAGUCUCCAAAAAAGGUACAAACAGCAUGACCCUCUCCUGGAGUUUGCUGUAAUCCUGAACCAGACUUCACUUGAGCUGGGAGUUUAUCUGAGCAGUGUUAGACUAAUGCAUGGUGCACAGUUUCUGUGCUGAAAUAGUGUUUUGUGUGUGUUUAGGGAGAGCAGGAGAACUAACUCGGCUGGUCAUCUUUCCGGACUGUAUGUAUCUGCUGUUACGUGGCAAUACGUUUACUAUUGUGUUUCAUGAAUUUUCUUAAACUCAUUUCUUUUUCUCCACAGGUGAACACUUUAGUUUGUUUUCUGUUCACUGUGUAAAUGGAUUGAAUAUGUGUUUUGGAAUAAUGUAUUUAAAAUAAAAGAUUUUUGUAACGUACUUGUGGUGGUGUU